GGAUCCCUACGGCGCUGGAUCUUCGUCUCUUCGUCGUCCAAUACACGAUUUAGAGUACCGGCAGGUGGGAGGGACAGACGACGAUGAGGAGAUUCAGGAGGUGGACGACCUCGCGCAGAUGGAGUGGGUGAACACGUUCUUCUCUUCUGCACCGACGCAGGAGGUCGUCGGCACUUCACAGCUGGGGGGUGCCCCACUCGCGACGCAGGACUACAGUCAGGUGGAACAGACGCCUGUUCCUGAGCAGGGUCGUCGGUCCACUCGCCAGACCAUCCCGCCGGAGCCACUGACGUACUCACAGCACCACACUAGGGCAGGCCAGGCUGCAGAGCGACGUGGCAGGAGGAGAGGGGGCAAGCGCGGACGCAUCUAGUUUACAGGUUGUAGCUUGUUAAUUAAUUUGUUCCGUCAUACUAUCUUAUGUAUGCAUGUGCAGACUAUGAUUCGAUGUGUCCAUUACGUAC